rnacentral:ncRNA from 1 species
UGGCAUGAACUGAUGCGAGGUGCCCGGCCGGAGACGGCGGGGAGAAUCGGGAAGCCGGUGUGAAUCCGGCACGGGCCCGCCGCGGUGACCGGGGAGCUGCCACCCAUACGCGUACGCGUAGCCACUGGCCCACACGGGCUGGGAAGGCGGGUGGUGAGGCGACGAUCCGGGAGUCCGAAGACCGGCCUCGCGCCGACGGCCCCG